rfam:Klebsiella pneumoniae IS43, WGS project CBWK01000000 data, contig: c122
CUUACGGGACGACCCGUAAGCGUUUCUCAUCCGGGGACGGCCCCA